ACAGAAGAGUAUAGAAGUGUGGCUAGAUUUGGGUUCAAAACAUACUUCAGUUCUAUCUCUCCUGUAGUGGCUCACACGGAUCUGGACAAAUAUUUGAUUGAUCCAAUGGAAGAAAUUGCACAUAAUGGAGACUUCAACAUAUUAUCUUGGUGGAAGACAAAUGAAAGUAAAUAUAAAAUUGUAGCCAAAAUGGCUCGAGAUGUAUUAGCCAUUCCUGUAUCUACAGUUGCUUCAGAAUCUGCAUUCAGUAUAGCAGGAAGAAUUCUUAAUGAUUAUCGAUGCUCAACUACUCCUGAAAAUGUGGAAUCAUUAAUCUGCACACAGAGUUGGAUUCGUGAUGCACACAACUUGGGUGAAAGUUCUCAUGAUGCAGAGCACCAUUCAGACGAGGAAAGUUAAUCCAAUGCAUGAUUAUCAUGAUGGACAUUUCAAGGUUGGUGACGGACUUUGAAGA